UAGGGAAUCUUCCACAAUGGGCGAAAGCCUGAUGGAGCAACGCCGCGUGAGUGAUGAAGGCCUUCGGGUUGUAAAACUCUGUCAUUCGGGACGAACCGGAGUCUGAGGAAAUGCAGACUCUCUGACGGUACCGGAGGAGGAAGCCCCGGCUAACUACGUGCCAGCAGCCGCGGUAAUACGUAGGGGGCAAGCGUUGUCCGGAUUCACUGGGCGUAAAGCGCGCGCAGGCGGUGAUGUAAGUCUGAGGUGAAAACCCGAAGCUCAACUUCGGGACUGCCUUGGAUACUGCGUCACUUGAGGAUAGGAGAGGCAAGGGGAAUUCCACGUGUAGCGGUGAAAUGCGUAGAGAUGUGGAGGAACACCUGUGGCGAAGGCGCCUUGCUGGCCUAUUUCUGACGCUGAGGCGCGAAAGCGUGGGGAGCAAACAGG
rnacentral:rRNA from 2 species